UCCGAGUUUUAUUAAAUUUGGGACUUACUAUUGUUUGUUUACAGGGGGUGUUACUUUUUGAAGAUUGUGAUUCAGUGUGCGAAGAUCUGCCCGCAGUUGAUAAAGAACCAGUGUGUAUGAUGUUCAGUCGAUACAAAAGAGGAUAUCAGUUCUUCGUCAACGAGUGUCAUGCCCGAAGAUCUAUUUGUAAAGAAAACUUAGUACUUCAAAUGGUCCACCCAAGUCGAUGUUUUAAGAGCAAUCAAUUCUUUAUGCCAAUGAAC